rnacentral:rRNA from 1 species
AUACAGGUCGAGCAAGGAUGAAAAUCGGACUUAGUGAUCCGGUGGUUCUGCGUGGAAGGGCCAUCGCUCAACGGAUAAAAGCUACCCUGGGGAUAACAGGCUUAUCUCCCCCAAGAGUCCACAUCGACGGGGAGGUUUGGCACCUCGAUGUCGGCUCAUCACAUCCUGGGGCUGUAGUAGGUCCCAAGGGUUGGGCUGUUCGCCCAUUAAAGUGGUACGCGAGCUGGGUUCAGAACGUCGUGAGACAGUUCGGUCCCUAUCCGUCGCAGGCGUAGGAAAUUUGAGAAGACCUGUCCUUAGUACGAGAGGACCGGGAUGGACGUACCUCUGGUGUACCAGUUGUCCUGCCAAGGGCAUGGCUGGGUAGCUAUGUACGGAAUGGAUAAGCGCUGAAAGCAUCUAAGCGCGAAGCCAACUUCAAGAUAAGAUUUCCCACCGCAAGGGUAAGACCCCAGAAAGACUAUCUGGUUGAUAGGUCGAAGGUGUAAGUGCAGCAAUGUAUUUAGCUUAUCGAUACUAAUAGGUCGAGGACUUGACCAAU